AGGAAGGGAAUUCCAAGUUGAAACAGCAAGAGGUUUGGCAAAAGAAUAUGAGUUAAAAUAUUUUUACAAAAGAUUUACUCCAUGGUAAUUGAUUACCAGAGGAUGUAAUAGAUUACUAGUGGCCAAAAAUGAUUUGAAACUAUUUAUAACAACUAUUAAAAAUUUGAAUUCAAAUUUUACAAUGUGUAAUCGAUUACACUUA
rnacentral:lncRNA from 1 species